GCAUAUCAAUAAGCGGAGGAAAAGAAACCCACAGGGAUUGCCUUAGUAGCGGCGAGUGAAGCGGCAAAAGCUCAAAUUUGAAAUCUGGCGCCUUUGGUGUCCGAGUUGUAAUUUGAAGAAGGUAACUUUGAGUGGACACCUUGCUUAUGUUCCUUGGAACAGGACGUCAUAGAGGGUGAGAAUCCCGUAUGGUGGGGCAAGUUCAUUCGUGUAAAGUGCUUUCGAAGAGUCGAGUUGUUUGGGAAUGCAGCUCUAAUUGGGUGGUAAAUUCCAUCUAAAGCUAAAUAUUGGCGAGAGACCGAUAGCGAACAAGUACAGUGAUGGAAAGAUGAAAAGAACUUUGAAAAGAGAGUGAAAAAGUACGUGAAAUUGUUGAAAGGGAAGGGCUUGAGAUCAGACUUGGUAUUCAGUGAUCAACUUUCUUUCGGGAAUGUGCACUCGCUGUUUACUGGGCCAGUAUCGGUUUUGGCGGUGGGAUAAUGGCGUAGGAAUGUGGCUUUUCGGAGUGUUAUAGCCUACGUUGAUACCACCAGCCGGGACCGAGGACCGCGCUUUUAGCUAGGAUACUGGCGUAAUGAUUUUAAGCCACCCGUCUUGAAACACGGACCAAGGAGUCUAACGUCUAUGCGAGUGUUUGGGUGUAAAACCCGUACGCGUAA
rnacentral:rRNA from 1 species